rnacentral:rRNA from 1 species
UACGAGGGUGGCAAGCGUUGUUCGGAUUUACUGGGCGUACAGGGAGCGUAGGCGGUUGGAUAAGCCCUCCGUGAAAUCUCCAGGCUUAACCUGGAAAGUGCAGAGGGGACUGUUCAGCUAGAGGAUGGGAGAGGAGCGCGGAAUUCCCGGUGUAGCGGUGAAAUGCGUAGAGAUCGGGAGGAAGGCCGGUGGCGAAGGCGGCGCUCUGGAACAUUUCUGACGCUGAGGCUCGAAAGCGUGGGGAGCAAACAGG